rnacentral:rRNA from 1 species
UACGGAGGGAGCUAGCGUUGUUCGGAAUUACUGGGCGUAAAGCGCACGUAGGCGGCUAUUCAAGUCGGGGGUGAAAGCCCGGGGCUCAACCCCGGAACUGCCCCUCGAAACUAGAUAGCUAGAAUCUUGGAGAGGCGAGUGGAAUUCCGAGUGUAGAGGUGAAAUUCGUAGAUAUUCGGAAGAACACCAGUGGCGAAGGCGACUCGCUGGACAAGUAUUGACGCUGAGGUGCGAAAGCGUGGGGAGCAAACAGG